rnacentral:rRNA from 1 species
UAAUACAGAGGGUGCGAGCGUUGUUCGGAAUCACUGGGCGUAAAGCGCGCGCAGGCGGGCGUGUAAGUCAGAAGUGAAAUUCCGGGGCUCAACCCCGGAGCUGCUCCUGAUACUGCACGUCUGGAGACCGGUAGAGGCUGGUGGAAUUCCCGGUGUAGCGGUGGAAUGCGUAGAGAUCGGGAAGAACACCCGUGGCGAAGGCGGCCAGCUGGGCCGGUUCUGACGC